ACGGUGUUCCGCUGCACAUGGUUUUGGUUUGCAAGAGCAUCUG
rfam:Bacillus sp. B-jedd genome assembly, contig: CONTIG000001